UACAGAGGUGGCAAGCGUUGUUCGGAAUUACUGGGCGUAAAGGGCGCGUAGGCGGCCUCGCAAGUCCCGUGUGAAAUCCCUCGGCUCAACUGAGGAAUGGCACGGGAAACUGCGGGGCUUGAGUUCGGGAGAGGGAAGCGGAAUUCCGGGUGUAGCGGUGAAAUGCGUAGAUAUCCGGAGGAACACCGGUGGCGAAGGCGGCUUCCUGGACCGAUACUGACGCUGAGGCGCGAAAGCUAGGGGAGCAAACAGG
rnacentral:rRNA from 1 species